rnacentral:guide_RNA from 1 species
ACAAUAAACAUAAACGAAAAAGAAAAGCAAAGAUAGAGAAACUACUUAG